AGGACAGCACGUGUACAUACUCUGGAUAAAAUAUUAUAUAUAUCAUUAUUUAACUGGAUACGCGGUAUUGCUUAUUUGCUUUUUUCCAUCAGUUCGAACCAAUCGCAAGAUAAUACAAUUUAAUGAUAUUUAGCAGUAAAUAUAAUAAGUAUAAUAAGUAUAAUAAAUAUAAUAAAUAUAAUAAAUAUAAUAAUACAACUGACGUACAUUGCUUCACAGCAAUGUGAAAACUGCAUUUAUUUCAACGCCGUACGAUUUAUAUUUAAAUAGAUACCACAAUAUCUAAAAAUGUCUAAAAUGUCUAAAAAUGUCUAAAAAUGUCUAAAAGUGUCUAAAAAUUCGUAUGAAAUCAGGAACUGCGAAUAAAAAAAAUCGCAAGAGCCAGUCAUGUCACGGAAUUAAGCGGCGGUGACGUGACGACCGCGCGGCGAAACUAGUUCGCGUCGCGCGAAGGGUUGGAAGUGGCUCCGUUUUCACCUCUGCGCCGGAUGAAUAGACGCGGAUAAAGGGCUGUCCCGGAGUGGAGAGGGGGAUGAUCUGACGUGCCCGCGCCGCAGCCACCUCUCUCCUGUGUGGCUCGGCUGACGUUCAACCCCCGGCGAGCAGAGGACGAACCAGCACCCUCCGCGAGGACCGCCCUUUUACGAGGGUAGGGGAUCAGCCAGCCAAUCAACCGACUCGAUGGUGUUGCUUGAAACCGAUCAGGAGCCGGGCUUACCAUCAAGAAGUCCUAGCCACGCGAUGACUGUCAGUUACAUUCCGCCGCGAAGUUAGGGCUCGUUCCUAGGAUCCGGAGGCAAGAGCCGGAAGGCAGGAGCCAGGAAGCAAAAGACCCUUCGAGCAGUCCUUCCCGGUCACGAGACGAGGAAGUCCUCGCUCUCGUCGCGUGACAGUCCGCCGUCUCGCGGCGUCGUCGUCUUCGUCGUCGUCGUCACUCGUGGAACUGUUUUACUUCUGUGAUCGCGACGCGUUUUCAGCGAAAGUUCGUCGGCUGCCAACAGCCGCGGACUCGUCUCUCGAUCUCUUCGCGGUGAUAGUGUGUUGUGCAGUGAAGAUGCAGAACCCGGACCAGCAGAUCGGCCACAUGCCUGUGCCGCAGCCGAAAAUGCCUGCCUCUUCCAGUCGAAUCCUUUACGAUAUUCCUUGCAAGGUCUGCCGGGACCAUUCCUCGGGGAAGCAUUACGGUAUAUUCGCGUGUGACGGAUGUGCCGGUUUCUUCAAGAGAUCGAUACGAAAAAAUCGUCAUUACGUCUGCAAAGCGAAGUCCGAGGGGGGAUGUAUGGUGGACAAAACGCAUCGAAAUCAAUGCCGAGCCUGUCGUUUGGCCAAGUGCAUUCAAGCUGGGAUGAACAAGGACGGUGAGACGAAAGAAAUGCGUUCGAAGUUUUAACAUUCGUAAACCCAGCGAAUUUACCUUUUUACGCGUACAUUUCUCCAAAGAAUUGUGAAGGGGUAAGUGUAGGUAUUACUGCGGUUUUUCAUGAAUGAAGAGACGAACUUUCACAGAAAAUGUAACACCUUCUACGUAAAUAAAUAAUACCACAGUA